GCCAGCAGCCAUAUCACCCUGCAACUCACAACCCACUGAAACUAAGCAUGUGUGAGCCUGGCCGGUAACUGAAUGGGAGACCACCUGAGAAAAACUAAGGUUGCUGCUGGAA
rnacentral:rRNA from 1 species